rnacentral:rRNA from 1 species
AUUGAACGCUGGCGGCAUGCUUUACACAUGCAAGUCGAACGGUAACAGGUUAAGCUGACGAGUGGCGAACGGGUGAGUAAUGCAUCGGAACGUGCCCGAUCGUGGGGGAUAACGCAGCGAAAGCUGCGCUAAUACCGCAUACGAUCUGAGGAUGAAAGCGGGGGACCGUAAGGCCUCGCGCGAUCGGAGCGGCCGAUGUCAGAUUAGGUAGUUGGUGGGGUAAAGGCUCACCAAGCCGACGAUCUGUAGCUGGUCUGAGAGGACGACCAGCCACACUGGGACUGAGACACGGCCCAGACUCCUACGGGAGGCAGCAGUGGGGAAUUUUGGACAAUGGGCGCAAGCCUGAUCCAGCAAUGCCGCGUGCAGGAAGAAGGCCUUCGGGUUGUAAACUGCUUUUGUACGGAGCGAAAAGGCUCUCUCUAAUACAGGGGGUUCAUGACGGUACCGUAAGAAUAAGCACCGGCUAACUACGUGCCAGCAGCCGCCGUAA